GAGGUACUACACCCAAUAAAUUACAAGGUGUUGAUUUAACUGUUCUGGCUUUCGAUGAAUGUAAAAAAACGGUCGUGGGCGAUGUCCUAAUUGACGGCCAUAUGUGCACAACGGGUGUAAUGGGAAUAGGAGCAUGCAAAGGCGAUUCGGGAGGUCCACUCACUUAUGGUAAAAAACUUGUUGGAAUCGUGAGCUUCGGAAUUCCAUGCGGGAUUGGAAACCCCGAUGUGUACUCUAAAGUUUCCUAUUAUUUUGAUUGGAUUAAGAAAAACUCGCAAAUCUAACCACACCACAGCAACAGUUCUUGGAACGGAAGGAAU